GUGAGGGUCACCAGGAAGGGUUGUCCAGGUUGGGCCCUGCACAAGGGCACCUGACUAAGAAAGGUGGUGGGGGCUGCAAGGGACCUGUUUUCUACUUCACUCAAAGGCACCAGGUGGGCUUAUGGGGCCCCAGAAGAAUUCGUGUGCUGCUGGAAGGCGGGAUGGGCUCACCCGGAACUUUCCAGCCAGCAGAAGUGCCCAGGCAAAGGGCAGGAGCUCAGAAUGCACAUAGCAGGAAGAUGUGGGCUGGUCUGGAGACACGGGAGACCAGGGACCCUAGAGGCCCAGGUGCCCCAGGUCUUCUGUGGGUGGAGAACGCUGCAGACUCUGAUGUGUGCCCUGCCUGGCUCUCCCAUGGGAACCCUGUGCCAAGCAGCCCAGACAUGCUUCUGCUUUGGAGUCAAACCACGUCUUCAAAACCAACCUGGCACCUCUGAGUCCUGGGAGCCUGGGUAAGUUUCCUAUCCCCAAGUCUCACCUCCUCAUCCAAGAUUGGAGGCAGUAGCAGCCUUUACUCCAGAGUUGUUUAGAAGAUCGUGAAGGCCCUGCACA